UACGUAUGGAGCAAGCGUUAUCCGGAUUUACUGGGUGUAAAGGGAGCGUAGACGGCUGUGCAAGUCUGAUGUGAAAGGUGAGGGCUCAACCCUCAAACUGCAUUGGAAACUGUGCAACUGGAGCGUCGGAGAGGUAAGUGGAAUUCCUAGUGUAGCGGUGAAAUGCGUAGAUAUUAGGAGGAACACCAGCGGCGAAGGCGGCUUACUGGACGAUAACUGACGUUGAGGCUUGAAAGCGUGGGGAGCAAAC
rnacentral:rRNA from 1 species